rnacentral:rRNA from 1 species
UACGUAGGGGGCAAGCGUUGUCCGGAAUCAUUGGGCGUAAAGCGCGUGUAGGCGGCUUGGUAAGUCCGCUGUGAAAGCCCGGGGCUCAACCCCGGGAGGCGGGUGGAAACUGUCAAGCUCGAGUCCGGAAGAGGCGAGUGGAAUUCCUGGUGUAGCGGUGAAAUGCGCAGAUAUCAGGAGGAACACCAAUGGCGAAGGCAGCUCGCUGGGACGUGACUGACGCUGAGACGCGAAAGCGUGGGGAGCAAACAGG